UGGGGAAUUUUGGACAAUGGGCGAAAGCCUGAUCCAGCCAUGCCGCGUGAGUGAAGAAGGCCUUCGGGUUGUAAAGCUCUUUUAGUCGGAAAGAAAGAGUUGCAAUGAAUAAUUGUGAUUUAUGACGGUACCGACAGAAAAAGCACCGGCUAACUACGUGCCAGCAGCCGCGGUAAUACGUAGGGUGCGAGCGUUAAUCGGAAUUACUGGGCGUAAAGCGUGCGCAGGCGGUUUUGUAAGACAGAUGUGACAUCCCCGGGCUUAACCUGGGAACUGCGUUUGGGACUGCAAGGCUGGAGUACGGCAGAGGGGGGUAGAAUUCCACGUGUAGCAGUGAAAUGCGUAGAGAUGUGGAGAAACACCGAUGGCGAAGGCAGCCCCCUGGGCCUGUACUGACGCUCAUGCACGAAAGCGUGGGGAGCAAACA
rnacentral:rRNA from 1 species